AGAAUAUGCAGAGAGGAAGAGGGGACAAUUUCAACAGUCCAUUUGGAGGGAUAAUGUCAAGUAUAUUUGGAUUUGGAGGAAGAGACCCAUUCGAUGAUCCAUUCUUCUCUCGCCCUUUUCCAAACUUGUCUCGGACCUCCAUCUUACAUCCAACAACUCCUCAUGAUGAUGAAUCUAAUAGGCCAGUCAUUCAAGAGAUUGAUACGGAGGAUGAUGAUGAAGAUGCACCGCUAGAACCAGAUGAGGAGAGCGGGGACGUGAAUGGCUGUAACAAGGAAAGAGAUAGGGCUUAUGCUAACAGAAAUCCACUUGUUGAACAUCCUGAAGACCUAACGGAUGACCAUAGCAAGAGCAGCAAGAUCAUAAGCAAAGAUGUGACUCGUGGAAUGGAAGACAUGAAAUUGGAAGGAACACAGUCUAAGCCUCAGAGCAUGAGCUAUAGAAGAGUUACAUAUGGUGGAAUAAACGGGACAUAUUACACUGCCACGACCACACGGAGAGCUGGAAAUGAUGGAAGGGUGUUAGAGGAGAGCAAGCAAGCAGAUAGCACAACGGGUCAAGCAACACAUAGAAUUUCCAGAGGAAUUCAGGAUAAGGGGCACUCGUUGACAAGGAAACUUGCCUCAGAUGGUAAGGUGGAUACAAUGCAGACUUUGCAUAAUCUAGAAGAAGAUGAAUUAGCUGGCUUUGAACAGACAUGGAAUGGCAAUGCUAAUAACGAAAUCCCUGGAUGGAAUAGUGGAUUUGAUUUCCACGCAAAUGCAGGAACAAGCAGUAAUUGGCUGACGAACUGGGAAGCUGGAUUCCGAGAUCCAUUUAGUGGUGCGAGACCAAGUGACAACAGUGCUCAGAGUGCUCAGCGAAGGACGCAAAGUGGAAGACCAAAGAAGGUUGUUCGGAUUAAUAUAGAGUGAAUGUACGCGUUCACCGGAUUGAUAUCGAGCUAUGGAAUGGUGAAUUUCCUAGGUAGAAGACUACUAUAUUUGAUGGUUUAGGGUCUUGGUGAGAGGUAAUAAAAGCAGUUGUAGGUCUAUAAAGAAGGGAUUGUUGUAUCUGGGUUCGGUUGUAAUAUUAAUGCUUUAUCCAGAGCUGUAUUUGUAUUUGUUCGACUUUACAUCAUACAAUUGAUUAAAUAGUACUCUUUCAAGCUAUAUAGAAGAAAAAAACAAGUAUAUUUAGUGAAAGUAUCCGUUAUGGGAUGUCAAAAGA
rnacentral:misc_RNA from 1 species